rnacentral:rRNA from 1 species
AUUGAACGCUGGCGGCAGGCCUAACACAUGCAAGUCGAACGGUAACAGGAAGACGCUUGCUUCUUUGCUGACGAGUGGCGGACGGGUGAGUAAUGUCUGGGAAACUGCCUGAUGGAGGGGGAUAACUACUGGAAACGGUAGCUAAUACCGCAUAACGUCGCAAGACCAAAGAGGGGGACCUUCGGGCCUCUUUCCAUCGGAUGUGCCCAGAUGGGAUUAGCUAGUAGGUGGGGUAACGGCUCACCUAGGCGACGAUCCCUAGCUGGUCUGAGAGGAUGACCAGCCACACUGGAACUGAGACACGGUCCAGACUCCUACGGGAGGCAGCAGUGGGGAAUAUUGCACAAUGGGCGCAAGCCUGAUGCAGCCAUGCCGCGUGUAUGAAGAAGGCCUUCGGGUUGUAAAGUACUUUCAGCGGGGAAGAAGGGAGUAAAGUUAAUACCUUCGCUCAUUGACGUUACCCGCAGAAGAAGCACCGGCUAACUCCGUG